rnacentral:rRNA from 1 species
UGCCAGACUCCUACGGGAGGCAGCAGUAAGGGAGAGGGGUCAAUGGGGGAAACCCUGAAAAAGCAACGCCGCGUGAGGGAAGACGGUUUUUGGAUUGUAAAACUCUGUCCUCUGUGAAGAUGAUGACGGUAGCAGAGGAGGAAGAUCCGGCUAACUACGUGCCAGCAGCCGCGGUAAUACGUAGGGAGAGAGCGUUGUCCGGAUUUACUGGGUGUAAAGGGUGCGUAGGCGGCUAUGCAAGUCAGUAGUGAAAUCCAUGGGCUUAACCCAUGAACUGCUAUUGAAACUGCACAGCUUGAGUGAAGCAGAGGUAGGCGGAAUUCCCGGUGUAGCGGUGAAAUGCGUAGAGAUCGGGAGGAACACCAGUGGCGAAGGCGGCCUACUGGGCUUUAACUGACGCUGAGGCACGAAAGCGUGGGUAGCAAACAGGAUUAGAUACCCUGGUAAC